GAUGAACGCUAGCGAUAGGCUUAACACAUGCAAGUCGAGGGGCAGCAUGGUCUUAGCUUGCUCAGACUGAUGGCGACCGGCGCACGGGUGCGUAACGCGUAUGCAACUUGCCUCACAGAGGGGGAUAACCCGUCGAAAGACGGACUAAUACCGCGUACACUUGGGAUAGGGCAUCCUGACCCAAGGAAAUGAAAUUCGCUGUGAGAUAGGCAUGCGUCCCAUUAGCUAGUUGGUGAGGUAACGGCUCACCAAGGCGACGAUGGGUAGGGGAACUGAGAGGUUGAACCCCCACACUGGUACUGAGACACGGACCAGACUCCUACGGGAGGCAGCAGUGAGGAAUAUUGGUCAAUGGGCGAGAGCCUGAACCAGCCAAGUCGCGUGAAGGAUGACUGUCUUAUGGAUUGUAAACUUCUUUUAUACGGGAAUAACAAGAGCCACGUGUGGCUCCCUGCAUGUACCGUAUGAAUAAGCAUCGGCUAACUCCGUG
rnacentral:rRNA from 1 species